AAAGAUGGGGGAGGAAAAAGAAAGAGUUGCUCUCACAGCGUUUCUCUACAAGUAUGUACCACAGAAUUUUGAGUAAAAUUAUUGUAAGAAAUAUCUAUCACACUGCAUAAAAAAACCAAUGUGUUUUAUAGCUUGGAAAACCAAAAUCCAAGUAUAUGUUAGAAUAUUUUUGCUAAAAAUGUUACUACUGCAAAGAAAGAAUCAUUGCUCAGAAUUCAGAUACAGCUAAACACAAAUCUUCUUCAUCUAGGACUGUAAGUUAAUUUAAUAGUUG
rnacentral:misc_RNA from 1 species